GAUGAACGCUGGCGGCGUGCCUAAUACAUGCAGGUCGAGCGAACAGACGAGGAGCUUGCUCCUCUGACGUUAGCGGCGGACGGGUGAGUAACACGUGGAUAACCUACCUAUAAGACUGGGAUAACUUCGGGAAACCGGAGCUAAUACCGGAUAAUAUAUUGAACCGCAUGGUUCAAUAGUGAAAGACGGUUUUGCUGCCACUUAUAGAUGGAUCCGCGCCGCAUUAGCUAGUUGGUAAGGUAACGGCUUACCAAGGCGACGAUGCGUAGCCGACCUGAGAGGGUGAUCGGCCACACUGGAACUGAGACACGGUCCAGACUCCUACGGGAGGCAGCAGUAGGGAAUCUUCCGCAAUGGGCGAAAGCCUGACGGAGCAACGCCGCGUGAGUGAUGAAGGUCUUCGGAUCGUAAAACUCUGUUAUUAGGGAAGAACAAAUGUGUAAGUAACUAUGCACGUCUUGACGGUACCUAAUCAGAAAGCCACGGCUAACUACGUG
rnacentral:rRNA from 1 species